CCUACGGGAGGCAGCAGUGAGGAAUAUUGGUCAAUGGACGAGAGUCUGAACCAGCCAAGUAGCGUGAAGGAUGACUGCCCUAUGGGUUGUAAACUUCUUUUAUAUGGGAAUAAACUGUUCCACGUGUGGGAUUUUGUAUGUACCAUAUGAAUAAGGAUCGGCUAACUCCGUGCCAGCAGCCGCGGUAAUACGGAGGAUCCGAGCGUUAUCCGGAUUUAUUGGGUUUAAAGGGAGCGUAGGUGGAUUGUUAAGUCAGGUGUGAAAGUUUGCGGCUCAACCGUAAAAUUGCAGUUGAAACUGGCAGUCUUGAGUACAGUAGAGGUGGGCGGAAUUCGUGGUGUAGCGGUGAAAUGCUUAGAUAUCACGAAGAACUCCGAUUGCGAAGGCAGUUCACUGGACUGCAACUGACAGUGAGGCUCGAAAGUGUGGGUAUCAAACAGGAUUAGAUACCCGGGUAGUC
rnacentral:rRNA from 1 species